rnacentral:rRNA from 1 species
CGCCACAUUGUGAACGCACUUUCGGGUGCAUUGAAAGAGUGCUCUCGGGCACACUUUUCUUUUAACUUUUAUUUUUUAAUCUGACAACCAAGAAAAUUUAAAACUUUCAACAACGGAUCUCUUGGUUCUCGCAUCGAUGAAGAACGCAGCAAAGCGCGAUAGGUAAUGCGAAUUGCAGACGUGAGUCAUUGAAUCUUUGAACGCACAUUGCGCUACUGGGCUAUAUGCUCAGUAGCAUGCUUGUUGGAGCGCCGAUCUUUCUCCUCUACCUGUUUCGACAGGCCUGAGGGUUCUGCUCCCACCGGGAGUGAAAGACAUGGAAGUGCACACGUUAGAUAACUCUGUGCAGUUACACUUUUACACUUUUGGCCCCCAAUCAAGCAAGGCUACCCGCUGAACUUUAAGCAUAUA